UCAUCUAUAGGUGACUGCCAAGGGAUAAC
rnacentral:piRNA from 1 species